rnacentral:rRNA from 1 species
CCUGGCUUAGGAUGAACGCUAGCGACAGGCCUAACACAUGCAAGUCGAGGGGCAGCACAAGGAGCAAUCUGAGGUGGCGACCGGCGCACGGGUGAGUAACACGUAUGCAACCUGCCUGUAAGCGGGGAAUAACCCGUUGAAAGACGGACUAAUACCGCAUAAUACUAAAUUACUGCAUGGUAAUUUAUUUAAACAUUUAUGGCUUACAGAUGGGCAUGCGCAUGAUUAGCUAGUUGGAGAGGUAACGGCUCCCCAAGGCAACGAUCAUUAGGGGUUCUGAGAGGAAGGUCCCCCCACACUGGUACUGAGACACGGACCAGACUCCUACGGGAGGCAGCAGUGAGGAAUAUUGGUCAAUGGACGAGAGUCUGAACCAGCCAAGUCGCGUGCAGGAAGAAUUGUCCUAUGGAUUGUAAACUGCUUUUGCAGGGGAAUAAAGUGCAUCACGUGUGAUGUUUUGUAUGUACUCUGCGAAUAAGGAUCGGCUAACUCCGUGCCAGCCGCCGC